rnacentral:rRNA from 1 species
GACGAACGCUGGCGGCGUGCUUAACACAUGCAAGUCGAACGGAAAGGCCCUGCGUUUGUGGGGUGCUCGAGUGGCGAACGGGUGAGUAACACGUGAGUAACCUGCCCUUGACUUUGGGAUAACUUCAGGAAACUGGGGCGAAUACCGGAUAGGAGCUCCUGCUGCAUGGUGGGGGUUGGAAAGUUUCGGCGGUUGGGGAUGGACUCGCGGCUUAUCAGCUUGUUUGUGGGGUAGUGGCUUACCAAGGCUUUGACGGGUAGCCGGCCUGAGAGGGUGACCGGCCACAUUGGGACUGAGAUACGGCCCAGACUCCUACGGGAGGCAGCAGUGGGGAAUAUUGCACAAUGGGCGGAAGCCUGAUGCAGCAACGCCGCGUGCGGGAUGACGGCCUUCGGGUUGUAAACCGCUUUCGCCUGUGACGAAGCGUGAGUGACGGUAAUGGGUAAAGAAGCACCGGCUAACUACGUG